UACGGGGGGGGCAAGCGUUGUUCGGAAUUACUGGGCGUAAAGGGCUUGUAGGUGGCCAACUAAGUCCGACGUGAAAUCCCUAGGCUUAACCUAGGAACUGCGUCGGAUACUGGAUGGCUUGAAUCCGGGAGAGGGAUGCGGAAUUCCAGGUGUAGCGGUGAAAUGCGUAGAUAUCUGGAGGAACACCGGUGGCGAAGGCGGCAUCCUGGACCGGUAUUGACACUGAAAAGCGAAAGCCAGGGGAGCAAACGGG
rnacentral:rRNA from 1 species